GCAGAGUAGAAUUCGAAGCGUUAAGUGUUGGCUGGACAGGGAGUUGUCAGCUGAACGAAAAAAUUGAAAAAUUUUGCGGUUUCGAGUUCGCAUCCCGCUGC
rnacentral:ncRNA from 1 species